rnacentral:rRNA from 1 species
AUGAAGGAUGUUUUUGCAACCAGAAAACGUGAAGAAAACGAGGCAAUUUCUGGACCAGGAAAUGAUGAAGAAAAUCAGGCAAUUUCUGAACCUGUAGGUGAUGAAGAAAACCAGGCAACUGAAUCAAGAGGUAGUGAAGAAAACCAGUCAAUUUCUGAACCAGAAAGUUAUGAAGAAAACCAGUUAACUGAAUACAGAGGUAGUGAAGAAGACCAGUCAAUUUCUGAACCAGAAAGUGACGAUGAAAACCAGGCAAUUUCUGGACGGGGAGAUGGUGAAGAAAAGAAACAGUUAUCCAAACGCAGCGGCCAAAUCAAGUCACCUGAUCAGGCAAACAAGGAGCUAAAAGCUAAAAUGGAAUUCCGAGAAGCAUUGUUAUCGCUUACUUUGGUGAUGUGUGCCAAACUGAUCAGUGUAGAAGAGUUCAAUGUUGUAGCUCAAAAGAUGUCCCUCAGAGAAGGGACUGAUUGUGGAGUGAAGAAGACAGUCAGGCCUCUCCUCUCCGAUAUUGUGGGAAAAGUGCGAAACUUGGUUCGUAACAAGAAUGAAACUGUAAUUGGCUAA